CUUGCAACUACUUUAAAGGGGCUGAGCUUUAUGCCACAUCUGCAGAAAUAAAAGAAAGCGGGUGCGUGUGUUUGCUUACUAGCUUCAAAGCAUCAUCUAAUGGGAGAGCAGAGCCCAAUUACUGGAAGGUGUAACUGAAGACACAUUCCUGACAUUUCUCUACAAAAGGCCCAGUGGUCAAAUGGAUGGAAUGUGCCUGCAAGUAACAAAUUUCUCACAGCUACUAUGAUAGAUGUUGUGGAGUCGACUAAAACUCCCACCAUCCCUGACGAAUGACGAGACCGACAUGGACUUGUGGAAGCAGUAAUCCAAAACAUCUGUAUAGCACCAAGUUGGGGAAGGAUGAUCGGAAAUCAUUUUGGCAUUUGUGUGUAUGCUUCCAGAGCUUCAAGAGCAAUCCCUCAAUUAUUCUGGUGCUCCAGCAGAUGGUAUGAUCAACCCUGUACUGAAAAAUGGGGACUCCCACUGCGACACACUUGCCAGCGAUAGAUUCACCUGCUGGUCACGCAACAACCGCUCACUACUAGUGUGCUCUGGUAAGAUGUCUUGCAUAGUCGACUGGCACUGCAACAGCUGUUCUCUUCCAGUGUGUUUUGAGCAAAUUGUAUUGUGGAAAGUCAUUGCCACUCUUUGGAUCAAUGCACAGGGCAUCGUGGCCUUAUUCCCAUUACUCUGCCAAGCAAUUCAGGCAAAUGACACCCUACGAAAAAGAACAUUGCGGUAUUUCUCGAAACACACCCUGGAAAUCUGCAUGGCCACAGCCAGCUAUUCCGCCUCUGCCCUCUGCUGGAUAAACGGUCCCUUUCAGGCCAUAUCAUGAAGUACAAACUGCGUCUAAUCACAAACGUGCACCACAAAUAGCUUAAAUCAGUGUUUCCCAAAGGGAGUGAUACCACCCCCUGGGGGCGCUGUAAUAAUCCAGGGAGCAAUUGGGGGGCGUUGAAUAAAAAUAAGGGCAUGGUAGAAGCAUAAAAAGAUAAAAAAAUGGAAAAACCAUUCAGACAUGUUUCAUUUCUUGUGUCAUGAUGCUUACCGUAAGGUCACGCACCUUUGCAGGAUGGCAAGAACACCUUCUCUGGAUCUGGUAGCCAUGCUAGAGGCAAGGGGUUUCCCCUUGGCUUUAGUCUGGCCUGCCCCUGGGUUUUCCAUCCUGGAGCCUAGUCUACCUCCUUGUGCAAUUUUGAAAAACCAUUCGUACAUGUUUCAUCUAUUGUGUAAUGAUGCUUACCCAUGUAACAUAACCUUAAAGGUUCCUCCUUCUCAUUGGGAUUGUUUUAAAUGUGAUUCGUAAUUUUUAUUUUAAUGUCAUCCUUUGUUAUCUUGAUUUUCUGUGUGUAAUGCGAAUGUUACUGUGGUCAAUUUUAAUAAAUAAUUUUAUAAUUUAAA